rnacentral:rRNA from 1 species
AUUGAACGCUGGCGGCAGGCCUAACACAUGCCAGUCGAGCGGUGGAAGGGAGCUUGCUCCUGGAUUCAGCGGCGGACGGGUGAGUAAUGCCUAGGAAUCUGCCUGGUAGUGGGGGAUAACGUCCGGAGACGGGCGCUAAUACUGCCUACGUCCUGAGGGAGAAGGAGGGGGAUCUUCGGGACUCACGCUCUCAGAUGAGCCAGGUUCGGGUCAGCUAGUUGGUGGGGUAAGGGACUGCCAAGCCGAGGAUCCGUAACUGGUCUGAGAGGAUGAUAGGUCACCUUGGAGCGUGAACACGGUCCUGAGUCCUGCGGGAGGGAGCAGUGGGGAAUAGUGGACAAUGGGCGAAAGCCUGAUCCAGCCAUGCCGAGUGUGUGAAAAAGGUCUUCGGUUUGUAAAGCACUUCAAGGUGGGAGAAAGGUCAGUAAGUAAAUACCUUGCUAUUUUGACGUUACCAACAGAAUAAGCACCGGCUAACUUCGUG